UACUGCUCAGUAACACGUGGACAACCUACCCUUAGGUCAGGGAUAACCCCGGGAAACUGGGAAUAAUACCUGAUAUGGCGCGAAGGCUGGAAUGCAUCGCGCAAGAAAGCUCCGGUGCCUAAGGAUGGGUCUGCGGCCUAUCAGGGUAGUAGUGGGUGUAACGUACCUACUAGCCUACGACGGGUACGGGUUGUGAGAGCAAGAGCCCGGAGAUGGAUUCUGAGACACGAAUCCAGGCCCUACGGGGUGCAGCAGGCGCGAAAACUUUACAAUGCCGGCAACGGCGAUAAGGGAACCUCGAGCGCCAGGAUACAAUCCUGGCUGUCGUAAUGCCUAAAAAGCAUUUCAUAGCAAGGGCCGGGCAAGACCGGUGCCAGCCGCCGCGGUAACACCGGCGGCUCGAGUGGUAACCGUUAUUAUUGGGUCUAAAGGGUCUGUAGCCGGCUGGAUAAGUCUCUUGGGAAAUCCGGCAGCUCAACUGUCGGGCUAUCAGGAGAUACUGUCCGGCUCGAGACCGGGAGAGGUGAGAGGUACUUCAGGGGUAGGGGUGAAAUCUUGUAAUCCUUGAAGGACCACCAGUGGCGAAGGCGUCUCACCAGAACGGAUCUGACGGCAAGGGACGAAAGCUAGGGGCACGAACCGGAUUAGAUACCCGGGUAGUCCUAGCCGUAAACGAUACUCGCUAGGUGUCGGCCACGGUGCGACCGUGGUCGGUGCCGUAGGGAAGCCGUGAAGCGAGCCACCUGGGA
rnacentral:rRNA from 1 species